CAAAACGUAGCUUAACCAAAGCAUCUCGCUUACACCAAGAAAAUGCCCGUUUAACCCGGACCGUUUUGA
rnacentral:tRNA from 1 species